rnacentral:lncRNA from 1 species
GCAAUGUUUAAGAGAUAAAUACAGUAAGAAUCAUUUUCUUUCUGAACAUGUAAAGGCUCUUUUUCAUUGUGUUACCCUCACAUUAAAAAAUUGUAUUAAUAUUUUUGCAAUUAUCUCAUUUCUGUCAUAAAAUAGUGACUUAAAUGUUGCAUGUAACGUGGACACAAAAAAUAUGAAUAAUGAACCAUGCCAGAAUUGACCUUAAAAGAUAUAAAAAGCCUCCAAACAACCAUCUGAAUGUAAAUUAUACAAUUAUACUGCCACAUUUCUCAUAUAUGAUAUUAUUUAAAUAGUGGUUAAUACCAAAACCAUUCACCUAAAUUUCAGACAGCAGACAUAUUUUUUAACUAUACCAGUAGUUAUGCUUGUUCAUGGUGGUACACUAUGGAAGGCUAAAUUAAACGAUAUUCAAAUGUCAAAAUAACCAGAAAAAUAAAAUUAAGACCAAAGAUAGAUCAAUUGAUGAAGGAGUCAUCCAAAAUUUCCACAACAUGAAACAUUUUUAUAUCAGUAAGUAAGCAACCCGUUUUGUUAUGCACAGGGAUGAGAUUGAUAAGAAGACAACCACACAACCAUCAGCAUCCACGAAGUUUCUCACUCAAUAACUAAUACUGACAAAGUAAGGGUACAAAAUGAUUACAUGUAUCCCUCAUUCAUGUGACACAGUUACACUUAAAACUAAUAGUAUGAAAAACCAAGACAAAAUAUGGACAAAUCUACGAGAGGUUGAUACAGCUGCAUUUAUUGAGAAUCUUAUUUUCAAUCGUUUACAUAACUUCUAUAAAGAACAAUUUGGGUUUCAUCUUUGAGGUUGUUGUCUGAUAGACAUAUUACCCUAUAUCUCGUUUUAUUUCUGCUGGUUAAUCUUACAUUUAUGAUAACUUUUUAAGGUUUAAACAAUAAA